rnacentral:rRNA from 1 species
UUAAAGUCUAACCUGCCCACUGAAAAUUUAAAUGGCCGCAGUAUUUUAACUGUGCAAAGGUAGCAUAAUCAUUAGUCUUUUAAUUGAAGGCUGGAAUGAAUGGUUGGACGAGAUAUUAACUGUUUCAUUUAUAUUUUAUAUAGAAUUUUAUUUUUUAGUCAAAAAGCUAAAAUAAUUUUAAAAGACGAGAAGACCCUAUAAAUCUUUAUAUUUUUGUUAUUUUAAUUAUAAAGAUUUAUUUUAUUAUAAUAAUUAAAAAUAUUUUAUUGGGGUGAUAUUAAAAUUUUAAGAACUUUUAAUUUUAAAAUUACAUUAAUUUAUGAAUAAUUGAUCCAUUAAUAAUGAUUAAAAAUUUAAGUUACUUUAGGGAUAACAGCGUAAUUUUUUUGGAGAGUUCAUAUCGAUAAAAAAGAUUGCGACCUCGAUGUUGGAUUAAGAUAUAAUUUUGGGUGUAGCCGUUCAAAUUUAAAGUCUGUUCGACUUUUAAAUUCUUACAUGAUCUGAGUUCAAACCGGCGUAAGCCAGGUUGGUUUCUAUCUUUAAAAAAUUAAAAUAUUUUAGUACGAAAGGACCAAAUAUUUAAAUAAUUAUAUUUUAAAUAAGAAUUUUAUUAAUAUU